ensembl:snRNA Rnu7-62 RNA, U7 small nuclear 62
UGAAGUUAUAGCCCUUUUAGAAUUUGUUUAGCAGGUUUUCUGACCAAAGUCAGAAAACCUAA